GACGAACCAAGCAAACGUUGUUCGGAAUUACUGGGCGUAAAGGGCGCGUAGGCGGCCUUCUAAGUCGAACGUGAAAUCCCCGGGCUCAACCCGGGAACUGCGUCCGAUACUGGAAGGCUUGAAUCCGGGAGAGGGAUGUGGAAUUCCAGGUGUAGCGGUGAAAUGCGUAGAUAUCUGGAGGAACACCGGUGGCGAAGGCGACAUCCUGGACCGGUAGUUGACGCGUGAGGCGCGAAAGCCAGGGGAGCAAAGCGGG
rnacentral:rRNA from 1 species